GAUGAACGCUGGCGGCGUGCCUAAUACAUGCAAGUCGAGCGAACAGACGAGGAGCUUGCUCCUCUGACGUUAGCGGCGGACGGGUGAGUAACACGUGGAUAACCUACCUAUAAGACUGGGAUAACUUCGGGAAACCGGAGCUAAUACCGGAUAAUAUAUUGAACCGCAUGGUUCAAUAGUGAAAGACGGUUUUGCUGUCACUUAUAGAUGGAUCCGCGCCGCAUUAGCUAGUUGGUAAGGUAACGGCUUACCAAGGCAACGAUGCGUAGCCGACCUGAGAGGGUGGUCGGCCACACUGGAACUGAGACACGGUCCAGACUCCUACGGGAGGCAGCAGUAGGGAAUCUUCCGCAAUGGGCGAAAGCUUGGCGGAACAACGCCGCGUGAGUUAUGAAGGUCUUCGGAUCGUAAAACUCUGUUAUUAGGGAAGAACAAAUGUGUAAGUAACUAUGCACGUCUUGACGGUACCUAAUCAGAAAGCCACGGCUAACUACGUG
rnacentral:rRNA from 1 species